UACGUAGGCAGCAAGCGUUGUUCGGAAUUACUGGGCGUAAAGAGUGUGUAGGCGGUGCUCUAAGUCUGUCGUGAAAUCUCCCGGCUUAACUGGGAGGGUGCGGCGGAAACUGGAAUGCUAGAGGGUGGGAGAGGAAAGCGGAAUUCCUGGUGUAGCGGUGAAAUGCGUAGAUAUGCGGAGGAACACCGAUGGCGAAGGCAAUCCCCUGGGCCUGCACUGACGCUCAUGCACGAAAGCGUGGGGAGCAAACAGG
rnacentral:rRNA from 1 species